UACGGGGGGGGCAAGCGUUGUUCGGAAUUACUGGGCGUAAAGGGCUCGUAGGCGGCCAACUAAGUCAGACGUGAAAUCCCUCGGCUUAACCGGGGAACUGCGUCUGAUACUGGAUGGCUAGAGUUUGGGAGAGGGAUGCGGAAUUCCAGGUGUAGCGGUGAAAUGCGUAGAUAUCUGGAGGAACACCGGUGGCGAAGGCGGCAUCCUGGACCAACACUGACGCUGAGGAGCGAAAGCCAGGGGAGCAAAGCGGG
rnacentral:rRNA from 1 species